UUCCAGACUCCUACGGGAGGCAGCAGUGGGGAAUAUUGCACAAUGGGGGAGACCCUGAUGCAGCGACGCCGCGUGAGCGAUGAAGUAUUUCGGUAUGUAAAGCUCUAUCAGCAGGGAAGAAGAUGACGGUACCUGACUAAGAAGCCCCGGCUAACUACGUGCCAGCAGCCGCGGUAAUACGUAGGGGGCAAGCGUUAUCCGGAUUUACUGGGUGUAAAGGGAGCGUAGACGGCGAUGCAAGCCAGAUGUGAAAGCCCGGGGCUCAACCCCGGGACUGCAUUUGGAACUGUGUGGCUGGAGUGUCGGAGAGGCAGGCGGAAUUCCUAGUGUAGCGGUGAAAUGCGUAGAUAUUAGGAGGAACACCAGUGGCGAAGGCGGCCUGCUGGACGAUGACUGACGUUGAGGCUCGAAAGCGUGGGGAGCAAACAGGAUUAGAUACCCGUGUA
rnacentral:rRNA from 1 species